AGCGUCGUCAAAGAUUUAAACAAUUUAAUUUGAUUUUUGUAAAGUGUUGUGUCAUUCUCUGACGAACAAGAUGUUGAGAAAUGAUACGAGAACCACGGAAGCGAUACAAUGAUCCCAUCAUAUACUGAAUUAAUCACGUGAAUGCUGAGGUUCUGAUUGUGCGAUCCAAAUUGAGUUAAGGAAGAUUUGGGUUGAACUAGUGGGGAUCGUAGCUGAGAAUUGCUUGGGGCCUAAGGAAUCUCAACGAGAACUACGACUUGGAGCAAUUAGAAGCUUCCAGAGUGGGAAACAGGGUGGAGCCACACCGUCGUAUAUCUACCUCGACUUCACUCAAUAACUCUCGCUGCAUAGUGAUCUUGAAGAAGAUUGCAUCGAGACCUUCAUGGUAAUCUCACAGACAGGAUGGAAGGCUGGACUCUCAGCAACAAAUCUUGCGUCGGUGCUGGGUUGCUACCGACGCCUUCGGCGCGAAAAUGUGCGCUGAUACCUUGGAAAAUGCUCAACUAUCAAGACAUCGAUUUCUCGGGAACUGAUUAUCUGUAGCAUCGAUUAACUGGAUAUUGAGUUCCUCGAUCGACGUUUAUUUAGACAUGCGAACAGAGAGUCUUGGAUACUCUUGCAAUUUACACAGUCUGGAUAAUCGAGCUGGUACGUUGAGCAUCGAUUACUCGGACCAUGUCGUCCCUCGUCUUGUUCUGGUAGUCCAAGUUUCAAUUCCUUAGCUUGUAAUAUUACAGUUCUCUUCACGGUGCUUCCAAUAUUUCGAGGAAAUUGCGCCUUUCGUUAAAAACGAAAUAACAAUCUACAUACAAUCUUUUUUCUUGAAUAAUCUUCCAAAGUAGAAUCUUCGAUUUUUCGAUCAAUUUUAAAGACUUUCGCCCUUUGAGUGCCAAAGGAAAUUUGCAUACAUAUCCGAGAAACGCCAGACAAUUUUAAGCAACGAUGCAUGAUUGUAAACAGAAAUGUAUAUUCCAUUCAAUUUUAUUUUAAGGUUCGUGAAAUUUUUACACGAUACUAAAAACAUGUUAGACUUCCUUUAUUACUAAAAAAAAAAAAGAAUAAAAAUAAAACGUUAUAGGUUUAACAAGAAAUAAAUUUGUAUAAAGAAAAUAUUUUCACAAAGACUUGAACUUGAAUUUUGCUUGCAAAUAAACUUAUUAACUUAUUCUCUGUUGAAAUGAAUCUUUUCAGUUAUGUUUUGCAGAUUUUUUAACGAGUUAUAGCACUUACAGCUUCGAGCAACGAUAUGUCGCUCCUCGACACUCGAAGGGUUAAGCAACAAGUAUAUAAACCAAAAGAAUCUCCUUCUCGAUCCAGAGAAAAUGGAGUACCUCAACGCGUAAACUAUUUCCCUUGCCUUGUAACGCUCCAUUUCUCAUCCCGAAGCUUCCCCCGCAUUAAAAAAAAUAGCGCGCCACAUUAAAAACUCAAUAACAACCCAUCCUCCCCGAGCUUGAAGAGACUCCUAGCAAAGUAACGAACCACCUUGACGCGAGAGGAACGACCUGCAAGCCCAA